CCCGCCCUCCUCCCAGGGAUUGGCUGCCGGCUCCGUAGCCCUCCUUCGGGUCCGAUACUAACAGCUGAGUUUCCUUGGUUGGCGGGCUUCUUUGUCCUGCGGAGUUGGGCGGGCGCGGCCUCAGCCACUUUGUAGCUGGUUCCGGGCGGCUCCGCCUGCGGGGUCGAGAACCCUUCCCGGACCGACCUGGGGCCUGGGGAGUUUGUCUCCAGCGUCUGCGGGGCUGCAGCGCUCAGAGUGCUAAGCGCAGGAAAUAACAGCAAAGCCUCCUCACGUGCUCCGGUGACCACGAGACCAAGCCAGAUCCUGUGGUCGCAGGGGCUUCAGCCUGCAGCAGGCACAGCAAGCCUACAAAUGAAUUCCACCUGACCGCAAAGGAUAGCUGGAGCCAACAUUCACCUCUAGCUGGAACCUUUGUCCACAGACACAGUCCUGGUGGACAGUAUUCAGAGGCGAGGGCUUCUGCCAGGCACCUUGACCCACGCUAAUCAGAAGUUAACGAAACAACAUUUUGCAGGACUCUCUAUCUCUCUCUCCUUAAAAGCUCUUUUCCCACCCAAAUGGGGGAGACUGAUCUGAGUCUUGUCUCCAGUCUCUUUUUCCGACUGCCUGACAAAUAAAACCUUUUUCUCGGGGAAAACCUGUUGCCUCAGACUUUGGCUUCCUGUGUGCAAUGGUCAAUGAGCCCGCGACUCCAGCUCGGUAACAGAAGGUCACACAGCCUCCAAGGCAAACACCCGCUAGAAACAACAGUUACCUACUCAGGCC
rnacentral:lncRNA from 1 species